AAGUCGUAACAAGGUUUCCGUAGGUGAACCUGCGGAAGGAUCAUUAUCGAGUUAGGGUCUUCAUGGCUGACCUCCAACCCUGUGUUUAUUAUGCCACGUUGCUUCGGCGGGUCCGUCUUUUAUCGGACCGCCGGGGGUCGGCGAGACUUCCUUCGGCCCGCGCCCGCCGAUGGCCCCCAAUAAACCAUCAAUGUCAUAACAAUCGUUUGUUUCUGCAGGGUUUCCUUUUAAAAAUUUAAAAUUUAAAAAAGCCAAAAAAGCCUU
rnacentral:misc_RNA from 1 species